GAAUUGCAAGCGCCCAAGCGACGUUCGUCUCACUUUUAACGGUUACUCCACCCUCCAACCGCCUCAGGCGGCCGGUGCUCCACACCUUCCUGCUCAGUGCCUCCGACGCCAUGAGUUUCGGAACCUCUCUCUCUCUCUCUCUCCCUCCCGGAGGAGGUCCGCAAGAUUGCAGAUUUCAGGCAAACAUAGAGAAGUCUCCGCUAGAUGACGCUCCUCGGAUGUUCAACGGACAAGGCAACAUAGGAAGAUUGCAGAAGCCGGAAGCUCACUGAGCGGAUUGAAGAUUUUCACUUUUCUUGGAGCUUCCGGUGCGCAAAUGGGGUAAAUAGGAGAGGAGGAGGAGGCUUGGAUCGGUGGGCCGAAACGGCAAUGCGUGCGACUACACGUACGAAAUUCUGCGGAUUAGGGUUUAUGAGAAGACAAUCAGAGAAUAUUUGUUGUUG
rnacentral:lncRNA from 1 species